GAUCAGAGAGAAGGAUAUUAAGAGGGAUAGAUGGAAUUAAGGGAGAUAAAAACUAGAAAAAUAGAAAGAAGAAAUAGAGAGAUUAGGAAGAAGGUAAAAGAGUGAGAAAACUAAGGUGAGAGUGAAGACAAACCAUAUGAGAAAGAAAGAGAGAGAGAAGAAAAUAGAUUGAAAGUCAGUUUUCCAGUGACUUCCUUUAGGAAAAAAUGCCACCAGCUUCAUCCCACCCUAAUUUCCAACCAAAAAUACACCAGAACACCAAAACUUUAUCUCCACUGGCAAAGCCCACUGGUAAAAUGACAUUUUGACUGGAUUCACCCUAUUAGAAAUGUCGGUGAACCAAAUUAUUUCUGGUUAAAUAGUCACUGGAAAACACAAUUAUCACGUUGGGUCUGUAUUGAGUUUAUUGGAUCAAGGUUCUGAAUUUGGUUCCAAUUCAUGG
rnacentral:lncRNA from 1 species